rnacentral:rRNA from 1 species
GAGUUUGAUCUUGGCUCAGGGUUAACGCUGGCGGUGCGCAUAACACAUGCAAGUCGAGCGAGGGCUUAUUUCUCGCAAGAGAGAUGAGUUCCUAGCGGCGAACGGGUGAGUAACACGUGGGCAACCUUUCCUAUCGCGGGGGAUAACACCGGGAAACCGAUGCUAAUACCGCAUGUCGUCACUGGUCGCAUGGCUGGUGAAGAAAGCAGCAAUGCACGAUGGGGUGGGCCCGCGGCCUAUCAGCUAGUCGGUGGGGUAACGGCCGUACCGAGGCGAUGACGGGUAGCUGGUCUGAGAGGACGGCCAGCCACACGGGGGACUGAGACACGGCCCCGACUCCUACGGGAGGCAGCAGUGAGGAAUCUUCCGCAAUGGGCGAAAGCCUGACGGAGCGACACCGCGUGUGGGAUGAAGUCUUUCGGGGUGUAACCACUGUCGGAGGGGAAGACAAAAAGACGGUACCUCCAAGAAGACCCGGCUAACUACGUGCCAGCCGCCGCAGU